rnacentral:rRNA from 1 species
GAUGAACGCUGGCGGCGUGCCUAAUACAUGCAAGUCGAGCGAACGGACGAGAAGCUUGCUUCUCUGAUGUUAGCGGCGGACGGGUGAGUAACACGUGGAUAACCUACCUAUAAGACUGGGAUAACUUCGGGAAACCGGAGCUAAUACCGGAUAAUAUUUUGAACCGCAUGGUUCAAAAGUGAAAGACGGUCUUGCUGUCACUUAUAGAUGGAUCCGCGCUGCAUUAGCUAGUUGGUAAGGUAGCGGCUUACCAAGGCAACGAUGCAUAGCCGACCUGAGAGGGUGAUCGGCCACACUGGAACUGAGACACGGUCCAGACUCCUACGGGAGGCAGCAGUAGGGAAUCUUCCGCAAUGGGCGAAAGCCUGACGGAGCAGCGCCGCGUGAGUGAUGAAGGUCUUCGGAUCGUAAAACUCUGUUAUUAGGGAAGAACAUAUGUGUAAGUAACUGUGCACAUCUUGACGGUACCUAAUCAGAAAGCCACGGCUAACUACGUG